rnacentral:rRNA from 1 species
CCUACGGUGAGCAGCAGUGAGGAAUAUUGGUCAAUGGGCGGGAGCCUGACCCAGCCAAGCCGCGUGAGCGCAGAAGGUACAGCGUAUCGUAAACCUCUUUUGUCAGGGAACAAAGGCGGGGACUAGUCCCCGGCUGAGGGUACCUGAAGAAAAAGCAUCGGCUAACUCCGUGCCAGCAGCCGCGGUAAUACGGAGGAUGCGAGAGUUAUCCGGAUUUAUUGGGUUGAAAGGGUGCGCAGGCGGCCUGUUAAGUCAGCGGUAAAAGCCCGGGGCUCAACCCCGGCGAGCCGUUGAAACGGGCGGGCUUGAGUUGGAGAGAAGUACGCGGAAUGCGCGGUGUAGCGGUGAAAUGCUUAGAUAUCGCGCAGAACCCCGAUUGCGAAGGCAGCGUACCGGCUCCACACUGACGCUGAGGCACGAAAGCGUGGGUAUCGAACAGGAUUAGAUACCCGAGUAGUC